rnacentral:rRNA from 1 species
GAUGAACGCUGGCGGCGUGCCUAAUACAUGCAAGUCGAGCGAACGGACGAGAAGCUUGCUUUUCUGAUGUUAGCGGCGGACGGGUGAGUAACACGUGGAUAACCUACCUAUAAGACUGGGAUAACUUCGGGAAACCGGAGCUAAUAUCGGAUAAUAUUUUGAACCGCAUGGUUCAAAAGUGAAAGACGGUCUUGCUGUCACUUAUAGAUGGAUCCGCGCUGCAUUAGCUAGUUGGUAAGGUAACGGCUUACCAAGGCAACGAUGCAUAGCCGACCUGAGAGGGGGAUCGGCCACACUGGAACUGAGACACGGGCCAGACCCCCACGGGAGGCAGGAGUAGGGAAUCUUCCGGAAUGGGCGAAAGCCUGACGGAGCAACGGCGCGGGAGGGAUGAAGGUCUUCGGAUCGUAAAACUCUGUUAUUAGGGAAGAACAUAUGUGUAAGUAACUGUGCACAUCUUGGCGGGACCUAAACAGAAAGCCCAGGCCAACUACGG